rnacentral:rRNA from 1 species
AUACUUUUGCACAUUGGGUAGGGGAGCGUUCUGUAAGCGGUUGAAGGUGUGUGGUAACGCAUGCUGGACGUAUCAGAAGUGCGAAUGCUGACAUGAGUAACGAUAAAGGGGGUGAAAAACCUCCUCGCCGGAAGACCAAGGGUUCCUGUCCAACGUUAAUCGGGGCAGGGUAAGUCGACCCCUAAGGCGAGGCCGAAAGGCGUAGUCGAUGGGAAACGGGUUAAUAUUCCCGUACUUCUUACAAUUGCGAUGGGGGGACGGAGAAGGCUAGGUGGGCCUGGCGACGGUUGUCCAGGUUCAAGUGCGUAGGCUUGAGAG